CGUGUAGGCGGUUCGAUAAGUCGAGUGUGAAAGCCCGAGGCUCAACCUCGGAAGUGCAUUCGAAACUGUCGAGCUUGAGUACGGGAGAGGGAAGUGGAAUUCCUGGUGUAGAGGUGAAAUUCGUAGAUAUCAGGAGGAACACCGGUGGCGAAGGCGGCUUCCUGGACCGAUACUGACGCUGAGACGCGAAAGCGUGGGGAGCAAACAGGAUUAGAUACCCUGGUAGUCCACGCCGUAAACGGUGAGCACUAGGUGUAGCGGGUAUUGACCCCUGCUGUGCCGCAGCUAACGCAUUAAGUGCUCCGCCUGGGGAGUGCGGUCGCAAGAUUAAA
rnacentral:rRNA from 1 species